UCUGCUGUCCUAUUUCAUCAAUGCUUGACGACGACGACAGAAUCAACCACCCCUUGCCUACACUUUGAACUUUGUAACUCAAAUUUAAUAAUUUAUGAAUAUCAUCCAAAAUUAAUUUUAAAAAUAAAACUCUUUUAACUUUGUUUUAAUAAUUUUAUUUUUUAUUCCAAAAAUAAAAUUAAAAAAAAAAUUAGCAUGUGUCUUUUUUUUAAAUAUUAUAUUGUAUUUUUAUAGAACACUUGUUAAUCUCAACUCAGCUCGAGUUUAAAAACUCCAUUGGCAGUGUUAUAAAUAUUUUAGUCAUUGAGCUGUUAAUUGUCAUUAACGCUGUAACGAUAAGAUGACGUGGCACGUUAAAUCAUCAUUUCAAACAAAAAUUUUAGGUUAAUUUAUAUAAUCGAUCUCCAUAUUUUUUUUUCGUUUUUGAGCAAUUUAAUUUUUUUUAUUUUAUGUUUUUUAAACUUUAUUUUCUAUUUUUUUUCUUCUCACUCUGUUUUUCUUCUUUCUUCAUUUCUUUUAACGUAGUUUUUCUAUAUUUUUCAUCUGCUAGAACUAGUCCCUAUACUUUUAUUUUUUUGAACAAUUUAAUUUUUUCGAGUGAGGCGAGCCUGUGGACUAGUUUUAACAAAUGAAAAACAUAGAAAAACUAUGUUAAAAAAAACGAAGGGAGGAAAACAGAGGGAGAAGUAAAAAAGAAUGGAAAAAAAAAGAAAAGUUAAAAUAACAUAAAAGAAAAAAAAAUAAUUACUUAAAAUGAAAAAAAUAUAGGGAUUAAUUAUAAAUUUUAACUUAAAAUUUUCAUUUGAAAUGAUGAUUUAACAUGUCACAGUAUACCAUUACACCAACAACUCAGUAACUAAAAUAUUACAACACGGUAACGCAAGUAACUAAAACUUAACAUUUCAAACAUAAAUGACUAAAAUGUAACUUGAAGCAAACAAAAAUAAUUAUUUUGAUAGUUUACCCAAAUAUAAAAAAUAUACCUUAUAAGUUAACUGAUAAAUAAAAAUUGUAUUCUUAAUUAAUAUUUUAUUAUCACAUGCUAUAAACAAUUUGCUUUUGAUGUUCACUGCUUACUUUUCCACAUGGUUAUCUAGUUAUCAUGCAUCCCCAUCUUCAUAACCAAGUGAAUCAUUUCAUUUGCCAUUUUAAAAUAUAAAAAUAUAUAAUUAAAAAUUAUUAUAAAAAUAUUGUAUUUUUAAAAUAAUUGUUUAAAAAAUAUGAUAAUUUUUCACCGAUUUACGUAUAAAAUAAUUUUAUAGAAUCAAAAGCUAUCAUGAAUGUCACGUAAUAUUCUAACCUGACACUGAAUCAUUGAAACUGUUCCAUCGUGUUUAUUUUCUCAUUUGUUUGGCACUUUCUCUCUUUUUUCCGACCCGAAUGGACACCGCACUACCGCAGCAGUCCUUCGCCAUUCUUUUUAAAUUUUGGUUUGGUUGCAGUACGUAGCGAUUGAAAUUGGAGUGUCCAGCUUUUAGGGUUGGGGGACCAACCACAAGGCGUUGAAAGCCGCAAGAGCGGUGCAUGCUUGUGAGUUAGAAGCUUAGAAUUUGAUUUCCCAUGCUCU
rnacentral:lncRNA from 1 species